CUACGGGCCGCUCCAGUGAGGAAUAUUGCGCAAUGGACGAAAGUCUGACGCAGCCAUGCCGCGUGCAGGAUGACGGCGCUAUGCGUUGUAAACUGCUUUUAUAGGCCAAGAAACCUUCGGACGUGUCCGAAGCUGACGGUAGCAUAUGAAUAAGCACCGGCUAACUCCGUGCCAGCAGCCGCGGUAAUACGGAGGGUGCAAGCGUUAUCCGGAUUUAUUGGGUUUAAAGGGUCCGUAGGCGGAUCAUUAAGUCAGUGGUGAAAGCCGGCAGCUCAACUGUCGAACUGCCAUUGAUACUGGUGAUCUUGAAUACGGUUGAAGUUGGCGGAAUAGGUCAUGUAGCGGUGAAAUGCUUAGAUAUGACCUAGAACACCGAUUGCGAAGGCAGCCAACUAAGCCGUUAUUGACGCUGAGGGACGAAAGCGUGGGGAGCGAACAGGAUUAGAACCCUUGUAGUC
rnacentral:rRNA from 1 species